rnacentral:rRNA from 1 species
GACGAACGCUGGCGGCGUGCUUAACACAUGCAAGUCGAGCGAACAGACGCGGAGCUUGUUCCUCUGACGUUAGCGGAGGAGGGGUGUGUAACACGUGGAUAAUCUCCUUAUCAGUCUGGGAUAAUCACGGGAAACCGGAGCUAAUACCGGAUAAUAUACUGAACCGCAUGGUUCAAUAGUGAAAGACGGUUUUGCUGUCUCUUAUAGAUGGAUCCGCGCCGCAUUAGCUAGUUGGUAAGGUAACGGCCUACCACGGCGACGAUGCGUAGCCGACCUGAGAGGGGGAUCGGCCACACUGGAGCUGAGACGCGGUCCAGACUCCUACGGGAGGCAGCAGUAGGGAAUCUUCCGCAAUGGGGGAAAACCUGACGGAGCAGCGCCGCGUGAGUUGUGAAGGUCUUCGGAGCGUAAUGCUCUGUUAUUGGGGGUGAACAAAUGUGUAAGUAACUAUGCACGUCUUGACGGUACCUAGUCAGGAAGCCACGGCUAACUACGUG